CUGGACCUGGAUCGUGGUUGUAGGCCUGGGCCUGGUGGGCCUGGGACUAGCGGUCCUGUUCCCGCUGGUCUUGA
rnacentral:tRNA from 1 species